rnacentral:rRNA from 1 species
CCUAANACAUGCAAGUUGAACGCUGAAGAGAGGANCUNGCUCUUCUUGNAUGANUNGCGAACGGGUGANUAACGCGUAGGUAACCUGCCUGGNNNCGGGGGAUAACUAUNGGAAACGAUAGCUAAUACCGCAUGAAAUUGAAUAUCGCAUGAUAAUUGAUUGAAAGGUGCAAUUGCAUCACUACCANAUGGACCUGCGUUGUAUUANCUAGUUGGUGAGGUAACGGUCAGGCGACCAUACAUAACCGACCUGAGAGGGUGAUCGGCCACACUGGGACUGAUACACGGCCCAGACUCCUACGGGAGGCAGCANUAGGGAAUCUUCGGCAAUGGGGGGAACCCUGACCGAGCAACGCCGCGUGAGUGAANAAGGUUUUCGGAUCGUAAAGCUCUGUUGUAAGAGAANAACGGGUGUGAGAGUGGAAAGUUCACACUGNGACGGUAUCUUACCANAAAGGGACGGCUAACUACGUGCCAGCAGCCCGCGGUAAUACGUAUGUCCCNAGCGUUGNCCGGAUUUAUUGNGCGUAAAGCGAGCGCACGCGGUUAGAUAAGUCUGAAGUUAAAGGCUGNGGCUUAACCAUANUAUGCUNUGGAAACUGUUUAACUUGAGUGCANAAGGGGAGAGUGGAAUUCCAUGUGUAGCNGUNAAAUGCGUACAUAUAUGGAGGAACACCGUGGCGAAAGCGGNUUUUUGGUUUUNACUGACGCUNAGGCUCAAAGCGUGGGGAGCACACCGGGGAUA